UACGUAGGGGGCUAGCGUUGUCCGGAUUUAUUGGGCGUAAAGAGCGCGUAGGCGGCCGAGUAAGUCCGACGUGAAAUCUGGAGGCUCAACCUCCAGCGGUCGUUGGAAACUACUCGGCUAGAGUCCGGAAGAGGAGAGUGGAAUUCCUGGUGUAGCGGUGAAAUGCGCAGAUAUCAGGAGGAACACCGAUGGCGAAGGCAGGUCUCUGGGCAUUAACUGACGCUGAGGAGCGAAAGCAUGGGGAGCGAACAGG
rnacentral:rRNA from 1 species